CGCAGCCUGAUCCAGCCAUGCCGCGUGCAGGAUGAAGGCCUUCGGGUUGUAAACUGCUUUUGUACGGAACGAAAAGCCUCUCUUUAAUAAAUGGGGGUGAUGACGGUACCGUAAGAAUAAGCACCGGCUAACUACGUGCCAGCAGCCCGCGGUAAUACA
rnacentral:rRNA from 1 species